rnacentral:rRNA from 1 species
AUUGAACGCUGGCGGCAUGCCUUACACAUGCAAGUCGAACGGCAGCACGGGUGCUUGCACCUGGUGGCGAGUGGCGAACGGGUGAGUAAUACAUCGGAACAUGUCCUGUAGUGGGGGAUAGCCCGGCGAAAGCCGGAUUAAUACCGCAUACGAUCUACGGAUGAAAGCGGGGGACCUUCGGGCCUCGCGCUUUAGGGUUGGCCGAUGGCUGAUUAGCUAGUUGGUGGGGUAAAGGCCUACCAAGGCGACGAUCAGUAGCUGGUCUGAGAGGACGACCAGCCACACUGGGACUGAGACACGGCCCAGACUCCUACGGGAGGCAGCAGUAGGGAAUUUUGGACAAUGGGCGAAAGCCUGAUCCAGCAAUGCCGCGUGUGUGAAGAAGGCCUUCGGGUUGUAAAGCACUUUUGUCCGGAAAGAAAUCCUUGGCCCUAAUACGGUCGGGGGAUGACGGUACCGGAAGAAUAAGCACCGGCUAACUACGUG